UACGUAGGGGGCAAGCGUUAUCCGGAAUCACUGGGCGUAAAGGGAGCGUAGGCGGUUUGACAAGCCAGAGGUGAAAGGCAAUAGCUUAACUAUUGUAAGCCUUUGGAACUGUCGAACUUGAGUGUAGGAGAGGAAAGUGGAAUUCCUAGUGUAGCGGUGAAAUGCGUAGAUAUUAGGAGGAACACCAGUGGCGAAGGCGACUUUCUGGACUAUAACUGACGCUGAGGCUCGAAAGCGUGGGGAGC
rnacentral:rRNA from 1 species